AUUGAACGCUGGCGGCAUGCCUUACACAUGCAAGUCGAACGGUAACGGGCCUUCGGGUGCCGACGAGUGGCGAACGGGUGAGUAAUACAUCGGAACGUGCCCGAUCGUGGGGGAUAACGAGGCGAAAGCUUUGCUAAUACCGCAUACGAUCUACGGCUGACAGCAGGGGACCGCAAGGCCUUGCGCGGACGGGGCGGCCGAUGGCAGCUUAGGUAGUUGGUGGGAUAAAAGCUUACCAAGCCGACGAUCUGUAGCUGGUCUGAGAGGAUGAUCAGCCACACUGGGACUGAGACACGGCCCAGACUCCUACGGGAGGCAGCAGUGGGGAAUUUUGGACAAUGGGCGCAAGCCUGAUCCAGCCAUGCCGCGUGCAGGAUGAAGGCCUUCGGGUUGGAAACUGCUUUUGUACGGAACGAAAAGCCUUCUUUUAAUACAGGAGGGUCAUGACGGUACCGUAAGAAUAAGCACCGGCUAACUACGUG
rnacentral:rRNA from 1 species